rnacentral:lncRNA from 1 species
ACAAACCGGACUGUCCGAUGAACAAAAAGACAAAAGAAAAAGACUCAUACAAAUCACACAAGAAACCAUCAAAGCCAAGGAGAGCAUACAUCGCUUGGGAAAGCGAUAGCGACUCCUCUGAUGAUGAAAGCUCUAGUGAUGAAGAUGAAAAUGCAAAUCUAUGUCUUUCUGCUCAUCAAAAGAACAAAAAGAAACAGGUACGACAUGCUAAAU